rnacentral:rRNA from 1 species
UAGAAACGCUGAAGAGAGGAGCUUGCUCUUCUUGGAUGAGUUGCGAACGGGUGAGUAACGCGUAGGUAACCUGCCUUGUAGCGGGGGAUAACUAUUGGAAACGAUAGCUAAUACCGCAUAACAAUGGAUGACACAUGUCAUUUAUUUGAAAGGGGCAAUUGCUCCACUACAAGAUGGACCUGCGUUGUAUUAGUCGAGUAGGUGAGGUAACGGCUCACCUAGGCGACGAUACAUAGCCGACCUGAGAGGGUGAUCGGCCACACUGGGACUGAGACACGGCCCAGACUCCUACGGGAGGCAGCAGUAGGGAAUCUUCGGCAAUGGGGGCAACCCUGACCGAGCAACGCCGCGUGAGUGAAGAAGGUUUUCGGAUCGUAAAGCUCUGUUGUAAGUCAAGAACGAGUGUGAGAGUGGAAAGUUCACACUGUGACGGUAGCUUACCAGAAAGGGACGGCUAACUACGUGCCAGCAGCCGCGGUAAUACGUAGGUCCCGAGCGUUGUCCGGAUUUAUUGGGCGUAAAGCGAGCGCAGGCGGUUUGAUAAGUCUGAAGUUAAAGGCUGUGGCUCAACCAUAGUUCGCUUUGGAAACUGUCAAACUUGAGUGCAGAAGGGGAGAGUGGAAUUCCAUGUGUAGCGGUGAAAAUGCGUAGAUAUAUGGAGGAACACCGGUGGCGAAAGCGGCUCUCUGGUCUGUAACUGACGCUGAGGCUCGAAAGCGUGGGGGAGCGAACAGGAUUAGAUACCCUGGUAGUCCACGCCGUAAACGAUGAGUGCUAGGUGUUGGAUCCCUUUUCCGGGAUUCAGUGCCGCAGCUUAACGCAUUAAAGCACUCCGCCCUGGGGAGUACGAACCGCAAGGUUGAAAACUCAAAAGGAAUUUGACGGGGGGCCCGCACAAGCGGUGGGAACAUGUGGUUUAAUUUCGAAA